UGGGGAAUUUUGCGCAAUGGGGGAAACCCUGACGCAGCAACGCCGCGUGGAGGAUGAAGCCCCUUGGGGCGUAAACUCCUUUCGACCAAGACGAUAAUGACGGUACUGGAGGAAGAAGCACCGGCUAACUCUGUGCCAGCAGCCGCGGUAAUACAGAGGGUGCAAGCGUUGUUCGGAAUUAUUGGGCGUAAAGGGCGCGUAGGCGGCGCGACAAGUCACCUGUGAAAUCCCCGGGCUUAACUCGGGGCCUGCAGGCGAAACUGUCGUGCUGGAGUAUGGGAGAGGUGCGUGGAAUUCCCGGUGUAGCGGUGAGAUGCGUAGAUAUCGGGAGGAACACCUGUGGCGAAAGCGGCGCACUGGACCAUAACUGACGCUGAGGCGCGAAAGCUAGGGGAGCAAACAGGAUUAGAUACCCUGGUAGUCCACGCUGUAAACGAUGUGUGCUAGACGUUGGGGAGCCUAGCUCUUCGGUGUCGCCGCUAACGCUGUAAGCACACCGCCUGGGGAGUACGGCCGCAAGGUUA
rnacentral:rRNA from 1 species